rnacentral:rRNA from 1 species
UACGUAGGCAGCGAGCGUUGUUCGGAGUUACUGGGCGUAAAGGGUGCGUAGGCGGCGCGGUAAGUCGGGUGUGAAAUCUCGGGGCUUAACUCCGAAACUGCAUUCGAUACUGCCGUGCUUGAGGACUGGAGAGGAGACUGGAAUUUACGGUGUAGCGGUGAAAUGCGUAGAUAUCGUAAGGAAGACCAGUGGCGAAGGCGGGUCUCUGGACAGUUCCUGACGCUGAGGCUCGAAAGCGUGGGGGAGCAAACAGG